GACAAAAUUUUUUCAAGCAUGAUUUUUGUUAUUAUUUAGUAAAAGGCAAGUAUAUAUCUUCAAAAUAUCAAAUAUUUAAUGGCCCUUGCUUUAGUUUUUUCGGAUUUUAUACUUUUAUCGUUUUAAGUCUGGCAUCACCUGUCCGCAUGUAACCUUUUCGUCUUAUAUAUUUGUCUCCCUCUGACUAUCGUAACGUAAAAUUAAAAAGGGAGUUCCCCGAAUUGAUUCUGUUUGCUUUUGUUAUUGCAAAAAGAAAGAUUACGAACUUGCGUAGUACAAUAAAAUCAAUUGGUGAAGAUAAUGCCGAUUCGUAAAGCAAUAAAACUUAGUGAAAUUAUGGCCAUUUUAAAUGAGCCAUCUUGAGAUGACGAGGAGGAUCAAGCUGUAUUGAAUGCAACAGAUGUCGACGUCGUAUACAUUCCACCACCUCAUGUGGAGUGUAUGACAGAUGAAGAUCUGGACGAUGACCGGAUUAAUCUGAAUGACAACAAUGAUGAUCUUUUAAAUGAAAUCGCUGGUCAUGUUGAACUACAAUACUCAUUGGAAGGAGAAAACAUUCAGGAUGUAGGUAAUGAACUCAGUGAAACUGAAAAUCCAUCAACAUCUAAUGCACAUGGAAAUGCUAUGAUAACUGGCGGAUUUAAGAGAAAAUCUGAUUUUGCUGUCCCCGUAUGGCGAAAACCAAGAAAUUUUGAAUACAGCCGAACGCCAAUUAACAUCGAAGCUUUCAAAAUGGAAGAAUUUUUUCUGAAAUUGGCUCUAAAUCUCCGUAUGAUAUUUUCUCGUUGUAUUUUGAUAAAUUAAUAAUUGCAGAGAUAACGCAUUUCACAAACGAAUAUGCGAAUCCACACAAUGCUGCCAUUAACGUCUCGCCAGUGGAAAUACGUAGGUUCAUUGGUAUUUUGUACAUUUUUGUUUGUACAUUGUAUCACACCUUGCCUCAUAUUGACCAUUAUUGGUCUGUUCGGCCCGACAUGGGAAUUCCAAUUGUAAAACAAGCGUUGAGUCGUAAUCGAUUUAAAAUAAUAAAACGGUUCUUACAUCUCGCUGAUAACACCGAUUUAAAUACAAUAGAUCGUUUUGCCAAGGUUCGCCCGCUUAUUGAUGCUCUCAAUAAAAAAUUUAUGCAGUUCGGAGUUUUUAGCCAUAUUCUUUCCGUAGACAAACAGAUGAUUCCAUACUUUGGUCGACACUCAUGCAAAAUGUUUAUCAAAGGAAAACCGAUUCGUUUUGGAUUUCAGUCGUGGUGUUUAUUUUCAGAAAGUGGAUAUCUAUUUUCUAGUAUACUAUAUGGGGGUGCAGCAAAUCCUCCCGAUAAGAAUAUCGGUCUAGGAGCACAAACUGUUUUAGAUUUGCUUGCUAACGUAACUGACCCCGACUGCCUUAUUAUUUUCUUUGACAAUUUUUUUUCAUCCUAUCAUCUAUCUUAUUGAAUGAGCGUCCAUUUUUUGCAACCGGUACUAUACGUGAAAAUAGGAUGGCAAAAUCGCCCUUGAGGAAUUAAAAAAAAGAGAAAAGCGGGGCAUUUGACCAGCUACUCGAUGGUCAACAAGAAAUAUUGACUGUACGGUGGAACGAUAACGCUGUCGUCAAUGUUAUUACUAAUAACUCCACAGCCGAACCAAUGGUAUAUGCUAAAAGAUAUUCAGCCCUAUCACGCAAUCCAUCGUAGAGUGUUUUUUCGGGAAAGUUACGAAACUGCUAUCAUGCAAUUCGAACAGUUCCGAAAGUAAGUUCGAAAUUCGUAGAGUUGCGUUCACUGAAUUCACUCGGAACGGAAAAUUUUUAAGUUUAGCGGAAUUUUUGUACGACAGGUUUGUGCUAACGGAGAAAUAAAUUUCCAUAUGUGAGAGUCAUGAUUGCUACCAGGAAACUGAACAUUCACAUAACGUAUUUUCAUUUUAUUGUCAGAUAUCUGCAAAACAUUGAUUAAGAUGUUUGAAAUGCGAAUUUGUCACCAAACUUACAAUCAUGGCAUUGAUACUAAAGUAUCCUUUGCGGUUAUAAUAGAGAAACUUAUCUUUAGUUGGGGCAACGAUUUUAAUAUGUGUCUACACAUAAAAUCGCGCCUGGAAAUCCGUAUUUCUGAAAAAAAUCCUUUUUCGCUUCCCUUUUUUCAACAUCACUUAAAUCGAGGUUUAUCCACUGAGGGCACAAAUGAGACUGAAGCAAUCCCAAUACUUCUUUUAAGAUGCAACAAAAUGUUGACUGAGCCAUUGGAAUAUAUAAAGAUAUAGACGACGAUCUUGAAGAACUUGCAAUUCCUCUAGAACAUCGAGGACAUACGUAAAGGCCGCCUUAUUUAAGCGAUAGUUUUUAAUAAACCUGUGUUAGAAAAAUAAUUUUAAUAAAAUUUAACAAUGAA